rnacentral:rRNA from 1 species
UACGGAGGGGGCUAGCGUUGUUCGGAAUGACUGGGUGUAAAGGGCGCGUAGGCGGUGUUUUAAGUGAGGCGUGAAAGCCCUGAGCUCAACUCAGGAGGUGCGUUUCAUACUGAAAUACUAGAGUGCGAGAGAGGAAAGUGGAAUUCCUAGUGUAGAGGUGAAAUUCGUAGAUAUUAGGAAGAACACCAGAGGCGAAGGCGGCUUUCUGGCUCGCAACUGACGCUGAGGCGCGAAAGCGUGGGGAGCAAACAGG